rnacentral:rRNA from 1 species
CUAGUUGGUAAGGUAACGGCUUACCAAGGCAACGAUGCAUAGCCGACCUGAGAGGGUGAUCGGCCACACUGGAACUGAGACACGGUCCAGACUCCUACGGGAGGCAGCAGUAGGGAAUCUUCCGCAAUGGGCGAAAGCCUGACGGAGCAACGCCGCGUGAGUGAUGAAGGUCUUCGGAUCGUAAAACUCUGUUAUUAGGGAAGAACAUAUGUGUAAGUAACUGUGCACAUCUUGACGGUACC